GAUGAACGCUAGCGGGAGGCCUAACACAUGCAAGCCGAGCGGUAUUGUUUCUUCGGAAAUGAGAGAGCGGCGUACGGGUGCGGAACACGUGUGCAACCUGCCUUUAUCUGGGGGAUAGCCUUUCGAAAGGAAGAUUAAUACUCCAUAACAUAUUGAUUGGCAUCAAUUAAUAUUGAAAGCUCCGGCGGAUAGAGAUGGGCACGCGCAAGAUUAGCUAGUUGGUGAGGUAACGGCUCACCAAGGCGAUGAUCUUUAGGGGGCCUGAGAGGGUGAUCCCCCACACUGGUACUGAGACACGGACCAGACUCCUACGGGAGGCAGCAGUGAGGUAUAUUGGUCAAUGGGUGCAAGCCUGAACCAGCCAUCCCGCGUGAAGGACGACUGCCCUAUGGGUUGUAAACUUCUUUUGUAUAGGGAUAAACCUACCCUCGUGAGGGUAGCUGAAGGUACUAUACGAAUAAGCACCGGCUAACUCCGUGCCAGCAGCCGCGGUAAUACGGAGGGUGCAAGCGUUAUCCGGAUUUAUUGGGUUUAAAGGGUCCGUAGGCGGACUUAUAAGUCAGUGGUGAAAGCCUGUCGCUUAACGAUAGAACUGCCAUUGAUACUGUAAGUCUUGAGUAUAUUUGAGGUAGCUGGAAUAAGUAGUGUAGCGGUGAAAUGCAUAGAUAUUACUUAGAACACCAAUUGCGAAGGCAGGUUACCAAGAUAUAACUGACGCUGAGGGACGAGAGCGUGGGGAGCGAACAGGAUUAGAUACCCUGGUAGUCCACGCCGUAAACGAUGCUAACUCGUUUUUGGGCUUUAGGGUUCAGAGACCAAGCGAAAGUGAUAAGUUAGCCACCUGGGGAGUACGCUCGCAAGAGUGAAACUCAAAGGAAUUGACGGGGGCCCGCACAAGCGGUGGAUUAUGUGGUUUAAUUCGAUGAUACGCGAGGAACCUUACCAAGACUUAAAUGGGAAUUGACAGCUUUAGAAAUAGAGCUUUCUUCGGACAAUUUUCAGGGUGCUGCAUGGUUGUCGUCAGCUCGUGCCGUGAGGUGUUAGGUUAAGUCCUGCAACGAGCGCAACCCCUGUCGCUAGUUGCCAUCAUUCAGUUGGGGACUCUAGUGAGACUGCCUACGCAAGUAGAGAGGAAGGUGGGGAUGACGUCAAAUCAUCACGGCCCUUACGUCUUGGGCCACACACGUAAUACAAUGGCCGGUACAGAGGGCAGCUACACAGCGAUGUGAUGCAAAUCUCGAAAGCCGGUCUCAGUUCGGAUUGGAGUCUGCAACUCGACUCUAUGAAGCUGGAAUCGCUAGUAAUCGCGCAUCAGCCAUGGCGCGGUGAAUACGUUCCCGGGCCU
rnacentral:rRNA from 1 species